AAGCACGAGAGCUAGGAGACGUGGAUGAGGCCGACACUAGUAAUGUAUCAGAAAGACCUGGUAUAAGGUCUUUGAUGAAAUAUGGAUUCGUUGUGCUACUCUGACAUUUGUUGUGAUUCUUAUUGAUUCGUUUAGCAUAUUUCCCGUCGUAUUGUAUAACUUCCCUGUUACAAAUAAUUUUUCAGGAUCGUGGGUUUCGUAUAGUACGAGAUGGGUCAGUGAAAGACUUGAAGAUUUUUGAUCUUUUUGUAUUAUUACCCUUGGAGACAUUGUAAAAAUAACUAUUUGGAGACUAUUUGCAUAUUUGAAAGAAAAAGUGCUCUGAUUUGUAUUUGAGAAAAAUAACGGAGAAUUUUAGUAUUAAUUAAACGGCCCGGAGGGUCGGGUCGUCACAAAUGGUAUCAAAGCUUAGGCUUUAGGUCUUAACAUGGGAUCGUGUGGGAGGUUAUAUGUUAGAUCGUAUAUGGAGAUUGUGUGGGGAGAAUAAAAAUGGUAUCGAGUGCGCAGUGGAAGCGUGUAUUUUUUGAUAGUGAUACAAAAUUAAGACUUUUUUAAUUUCGAGGACCGCAUUUUUUUAAGAGGGGAAAGAAUGUAAUACCCGACUUUUAAGUUUUGGGUUUUAAUUGAAAAAUAGAUUCCAUAACUUGUGGGGGGAAAAUUAACGAUGACAUUUAAAUUGAGAUGAUAUAAUGUAAUUAGAAGUUGAGGGGCUGAAGUGUAAUUUUUAUAAAAUAAUUAGAAUUGAAUUCUUUGUUGAGCCGCAAGUGUCGGCGCCAAAAGGAAAGAAAAGGAAAGGAAAGAAAAGAAAAAGAAAAAUAAAUAAAAUAAUAAAAUAAUAAAAUAAUAAAAUUUAUAUAUAAAUAUCACUUUUUAAAAAUUUAUAAUAGGAGAGGGAGAGUUCGUGAAUAAGAUAAGAGAGCAAAGAAAGAGAGAAAAAAAGGAAAGAGAAUGAGGAGAAUUAGAUGGUGUGGUUAAGUUUUGAUCAUGAAAGCAUGGGUGUAAAUUUUCAACGGUGAGAUUAUAUCGGAUAAUGUCAAAUUUUGUAUGAGGAUCCUGGGGCCAGAUCUUCAUAUCUUGGUGUUUUAUUUAAAUUUGAGGUAAGCAGGAGGUAUACAAUAUCUUCUAACUCCCGAGUAUUUUGUCUAAAUAUCUGAUUUUGUAUUCCCCUUGAGCAUGUGUGCUAUCUGUUGAAAUCCAUGGUAUUUUGUUGGCAUCGUGGAUAAUGUAUGAUGUUAUUAUUUGAUGCUAAAUGCUAGGAAUAGAUGAAUACAUGUACUGAGUGGAUCCGCCAAUAGUUCCACUAUGGACCGGGAAAAGCCCGAGAGCUAGGAGAACGUGGAUGAGCCGAUCACUAGUAAUGGUAUCAGGAAAAGGACCUGGGAUAAGGUCUUUGAUGAAUAUGGAUUCGUUGUGCUACUAUGACAUUGUUGGGCAUUAUGAUUCGUUGACUAUUCCCGGUCGUAAUUGUAUACUUCCUGUUUAACAUAAUUUGUAGGGGACGACGUGGGAGUUCGGAUAGUACGAGCGGGUCGGUUGAAAUGUGACAAGCUCUUGAAGAUUUUUGAUCUUUUUGUAUAAUACAUUUGGAGGACAUGUAAAAAUACAUAUGUGUAGCUAUGCAUAUUUAAGAAAAUAGGCUCUGAUUUGUCUUUGAGGAAAAAUACGGAAGACUUCGGUAAGUAAUGAAGGCCGGGAGGGUGGGUGUCACAAAUGGUAUCAAAGGCGUAGGCUUUAGGUCUUACAUGGGAUCGUGUGGGAGGUUUAGAUGUUUAGAUCGUAUAUGAGAUUGUGGGGGAGAUUAUAAAAAUGGUUAUCAAGAUGUGCGCUAGUGGAGAGUGUAUUUUUUGAUAGUGAUACAACAUAAGACUUUUUAAAUUUCGAGGACGAUUUUUAAAGAGGGGAAGAAGUAAUAACCCGACUUUUAAGUUUUGGGUUUUAUUUAAUUGAAAAUUCAUAACUUGUAGGGAUAUAAAAAUGAACGAUGAACAUUUAAUGAGUGAUAUAAUGUAAUGGAAGUUGGAGGGGCUGAAGUGUAAUUUUUAUAAAAUAAUUAGGAAUUGAAUUCUUGAGCCGAAAGUUCGGGCCGCCCACAAAGGAUAAGAGAAAGGAAAGGAAAGGAAAAAGAAAAAGAAAAAUAAAUAAAAUAAUAAAAUAAUAAAAUAAUAAAAAUUUAUCUAUAAAUAUUACUUUAAAAAUUUAUAAAUUAGCGAGAGGGAGAGUUCGGCCCCCCAAUGAAUGAAAGAGAAGAGAGAAAGAAAGAGAGGGAAAAAAAAAGGAGGAAAGAUGAGAGAAAUGAGAGAAAUUAUAUGGUGUGGUUAAGUUUUGAUCAUGAAAGACAUGGGUGUCAAAUCACUGGUGAGAUGAUAUCGGAUUAAUGUAAAUUUUAGUAUAUGAUGAUCAUGGCAGCCAGUCUUCAUAUGAAUGGUUGUUUAUUAAUUGAGGUACCAGGAGGUAUACAAUAUGCUUUCUUAAACUCCGGAGUAUUUUUCUAAAAUAUCUG
rnacentral:lncRNA from 1 species